AUUGAACGCUGGCGGCAGGCUUAACACAUGCAAGUCGAGCGGAGAUGAGGUGCUUGCACCUUAUCUUAGCGGCGGACGGGUGAGUAAUGCUUAGGAAUCUGCCUAUUAGUGGGGGACAACAUUCCGAAAGGAAUGCUAAUACCGCAUACGCCCUACGGGGGAAAGCAGGGGAUCUUCGGACCUUGCGCUAAUAGAUGAGCCUAAGUCGGAUUAGCUAGUUGGUGGGGUAAAGGCCUACCAAGGCGUCGAUCUGUAGCGGGUCUGAGAGGAUGAGCCGCCAAGCUGGGACUGAGACACGGCCCAGACGCCGACGGGAGGCAGCAGUGGUGAAUAUUGGACAAUGGGCGGAAGCCUGAUCCGGCCAUGCCGCGUGUGUGAAGAAGGCCUUUUGGUUGUAAAGCACUUUAAGCGAGGAGGAGGCUACUUAGAUUAAUACUCUAGGAUAGUGGACGUUACUCGCAGAAUAAGCACCGGCUAACUCUGUGCCAGCCGCCACCGUAAUAC
rnacentral:rRNA from 1 species